rnacentral:rRNA from 1 species
GCGGUUGCACUCCCCUCUUCGGAGGGUUGUCGCCGCGGAGCGUCGGCCCCUGGGCUGGGGCUCUCACGAGCCGCUUUCCAGGUCCGGCGGGCGCCUCCCUUGGGCUCACCCCCUGGGGCUGGCGUCGGCCAAAACCCCUGUAUCCAACCCUUUUUUUAACACACCCCAAACCACAACCAACUCUGAAGCAUCUUUGGUGGCCCGGCCCCGUGCCGUCCACUCCAAACCAAAGACAACUCUCAACAACGGAUAUCUUGGCUCCCGUAUCGAUGAAGAACGCAGCGAAAUGCGAUACGUAGUGUGAAUUGCAGAAUUCCGUGAACCAUCGAAUCUUUGAACGCAAAUUGCGCCCGAGGCUUCGGCCGAGGGCAUGUCUGCCUCAGCGUCGGCUUACCCCCUCGCCCUCCCCCACCCUGUGCGGUGGGGUGCAGGUGCGGACCUGGCCCUCCCGGCUCCGCCUGCUGCGUUUUCACAGCUGGCGCCCGGGUUGGCUGAAGCCCAGAGGCUUGAGCAUGGACCCCGUUUGUAGGGCAAUGGCUUGGUAGGUAGGCACCCCCUACGCAGCCUGCCGUUGCCCGAGGGGACUUUGCUGGAGGCCCCGCAGGAAUCCGGCCCGCCUUUGCGGGCGGCCGGAGCUUACUCCUUCGACCUGAGCUCAGGCAGCCU